AACUACUUAGAAUCAUAAAGGCUGCAAAAGACCCCCACAAUGACCUAGACAGUCUAUCUACCAUAAAUACUGCCCCAAAAAGAAAAGCAAUUGUAGAUAUAGCUGCUUUAAACCAGCUUAGAGUCACACACAAAAGACUAAGAAAAAAAAAAUCUGAUAAUAAAGAAGGAAUCCCUUACCCCCUUCCUGAGGAUCAGAGCUCGCAAAGCACUUUAAAAGAUGCAGUCUCCAAAUAAAAAGCAUUCUCUUGCUGCAGCCAGCCCUUAAAUGAAGUUAGGGAGAGGUGGAACCUGGUCACGCAGGUGAAUUGCUUCCACCUGUGCUUUCAGGGCUGGCUGUGUCCCUUCACCAGGUGCUCAAUCACUGGUUCAGACUGUGGCUUAAUAGUUCCAUACAUGCCCAUUAAACCACAUCCCUAAGUAUCACAUCUCCACAGUUCUUGAAUGCCUCCAGGGGCAGUGACUCCACCACCUCCCUAGGUAGCCUGAGCUGCUUAUUUCUUUGCUUUCCUUAUACGUUCUAGUAAAACAGAGAGUUACGUCUCCCAUGUGAGAAUAGUGUGAGAGAAGAAAUAGGCAAGCCUACCUCCAUUAGGCUCCUGCUACAUCCAGGUUCCCACACGCUGCUUCCCUCCUGUGACUGCGGCCUCCAGGGCCCUGAAGUGCCUCUUGUUUUACACAGAACUCUCUCAGGGAAUGCUCAGAACUCCUGUCCAGGCAAAUCCAAAAUCCAUGUUAAACCUGUGCAAUGGAGGGCAGGCCUGGUCCUUGGCGUGGGGAGAGGACAAGAAUGA
rnacentral:lncRNA from 1 species